GGACUAUUGCUCAAUCCUACUUUUGCACAAGAUUACAAUGUGUUUAAAUAUAGGUAGACUGCAUAUGAAUGUUUCCGUCUACUUCUGUACUUUACUGAGCAUAACUUUUCUAGAAAGGAAAAAGUGUCUGUUAUCAUGUAUUAUUUAACGUCACAAAAACAUUGCAGUCCCCAGCUCGUGUACUAAAAUUUUAUUUGGUGAAGUGAAUUUGGCGGGCUUUGACGUCACCACCCUUCGUCUGUGUCGCCCACUCACCUGCGAUCCACUUCCGGCUUGUGCUCCUCCUCAGUUUGUCUCAUUGCUGUUUGACUGGCCGCUGCCCCGGACACAGAAAAACAGGAUGGCUGCCGGUCCAGAGCAGCGCUCAGGACUCGUGGAAGAUGGCAUUGAGCUGGGCGUUCAUCACCCGCUCGUGAUGCGAGUGUCCAUCGAAGCCCAUCAGGUUGUCCACCUGCGUGUAGACGCCACCGUGAGUGCCACCCCCCCCUCCGUCCUCGUCUUUUGGGUUUGUUCUCGCCGUCGUCCUGGUCUGGCUCUUCCUCCUGGUCUUCCUCCUCUUCCUCGUCCUCGUCCAUCAAGCAGCGCUCGUCUUCCUCUUCCUCCUCCCCUCCCGUUCCUGCAC